rnacentral:rRNA from 1 species
UCAUGCUCGUGGAGCGGCCGAUAUCUGAUUAGCUAGUUGGUAGGGUAAAAGCCUACCAAGGCAUCGAUCAGUAGCUGGUCUGAGAGGACGACCAGCCACACUGGGACUGAGACACGGCCCAGACUCCUACGGGAGGCAGCAGUGGGGAAUUUUGGACAAUUGGGCGCAAGCCUGAUCCAGCAAUGCCGCGUGAGUGAAGAAGGCCUUCGGGUUGUAAAGCUCUUUUGUCAGGGAAGAAACGGGUUGAGCUAAUAUCUUGGCCUAAUGACGGUACCUGAAGAAUAAGCACCGGCUAACUACGUG